ACCGUUGCUCCUCCCCCUUACUCUCUCUGCUUCCUGCUACCUUGGAUGGAGCAGCACCCCUCCACCACACCCUCUGUCAUGAGGCUCUGCUUCAGUCUGGGCCCAGAGCACUGGAAUUCGCCCACCAUCACCUGAACCUCAGAAACCAUGGGCUCAAACUGACCCUGGUAGAGAACACAGGACAAUGGACUUCAGCUGACUGCUGGGCUGCCUCGAGAGCCAGCUGCAUUUCCCGUUCUGGUAGUUCUCAAAAUGUGGGUUGCCAGCACCCACACCAGCAUCCAGAACUUGAAGUAAAGUUGAAGAAGGAGAAGGAGGAGGAAGAGGAAGAAGAAGGAAGAAAUGCAAAUUCCCAGACUCCACCCCACACACCUCAGACCUGCUGACUCAGCCUCCAGGGCUGCCUGGCCACGGGUGCUCAACAAGCCUCCCAUAAACAUCCUUAUGCCACCUCACUGUAAUCAAAGCCCUGAAGGACACCUGCUGUCUUCAUGAGCUGCUGGGCCAGGGUUCCUGUUAUGUCGGCAGAAUCCUUCAGCCCUGACUGCAAGAGAAACUCCG